CAAAAGAUAAGCUAAAUUAAGCUAGCGGGUUCAUACCCCGCCCAUGUGAGUAAAUCUCACUCUUUUUA
rnacentral:tRNA from 1 species